CAGAGGUCUCAAGCGUUGUUCGGAUUCAUUGGGCGUAAAGGGUGCGUAGGCGGCGCGGUAAGUCGGGUGUGAAAUCUUGGAGCUUAACUCCGAAACUGCAUUCGAUACUGCCGUGCUUGAGGACUGGAGAGGAGACUGGAAUUUACGGUGUAGCGGUGAAAUGCGUAGAUAUCGUAAGGAAGACCAGUGGCGAAGGCGGGUCUCUGGACAGUUCCUGACGCUGAGGCACGAAGGCCAGGGGAGCAAACGGGAUUAGAUACCCCGGUAGUCCUGGCAGUAAACGGUGCACGUUUGGUGUGGGAGGAUUCGACCCCUUCUGCGCCGGAGCUAACGCGUUAAACGUGCCGCCUGGGGAGUACGGUCGCAAGAUUA
rnacentral:rRNA from 1 species